GCCUGCAUGAACACCUUUAAGUAAGACACAUGUCCAGAAGAUUAGUCACAACAAGACCACUCCCUUCAUCAAAAAAUCUAACUAGAAUGGACUACACCUCAU